UACGAGAGGUGCAAGCGUUAUUCGGAUUCAUUGGGCGUAAAGGGUGCGUAGGCGGCAUGCUAAGUCAAUUGUUUAAUUUUCCGGCCUAACCGGAAGACAGCAGUAGAUACUGGCAAGCUAGAGUAUGGAAGAGAGGAGCGGAAUUCUCGGAGUAGCGGUAAAAUGCGUAGAUCUCGAGAGGAACACCGAUGGCGAAGGCAGCUCCUUGGUCCAUUACUGACGCUGAGGCACGAAAGCGUGGGGAGCAAACAGG
rnacentral:rRNA from 1 species